CAGUCGAGGGGCAGCGGGGGCGAAGCUUGCUUCGCCUGCCGGCGACCGGCGCACGGGUGAGUAACACGUAUGCGACCUGCCCCCCGCAGGGGGAUAACCGGGAGAAAUCCCGACUAAUACCGCGUAACGCCGCUGGGCUGCAUGGCCCGGCGGCCAAAGGAAGCGAUUCCGGCGGGGGAUGGGCAUGCGGCGCAUUAGCUAGUCGGCGGGGUAACGGCCCACCGAGGCGACGAUGCGUAGGGGUUCUGAGAGGAAGGUCCCCCACACUGGUACUGAGACACGGACCAGACUCCUACGGGAGGCAGCAGUGAGGAAUAUUGGUCAAUGGGCGUAAGCCUGAACCAGCCAAGUCGCGUGAGGGAAGACGGUCCUACGGAUUGUAAACCUCUUUUGCCGGGGAGCAACGGGGUCCUUGCGAGGGCCCUAUGAGAGUACCCGGAGAAAAAGCAUCGGCUAACUCCGUGCCAGCAGCCGCGGUAAUACGGAGGAUGCGAGCGUUAUCCGGAUUUAUUGGGUUUAAAGGGUGCGUAGGCGGGCUGUUAAGUCAGCGGUCAAAUGUCGGGGCUCAACCCCGGCCUGCCGUUGAAACUGGCGGCCUCGAGUGGGCGAGAAGUAUGCGGAAUGCUGGUGUAGCGGUGAAAUGCAUAGAUAUCACGCAGAACUCCGAUUGCGAAGGCAGCAUACCGGCGCCCUACUGACGCUGAGGCACGAAAGCGUGGGUAUCGAACAGGAUUAGAUACCCUGGUAG
rnacentral:rRNA from 1 species